AGAGUUUGAUCCUGGUUCAGGACGAACGCUGGCGGCGUGCCUAACACAUGCAGUCGAACGAAGCAGUUGCUUCACCAAGUGUUGAACGAAGUACCCCAAGCGCAUUUUGCUGAAGGUAACAAGAAUAAAGUUUAACCAAAAAAGAUAAAAGUAAAUAAAUUAGAUAAAAGCGAGAAUGCGCUUCACACUAAUUUAAAGUACCAACACUUUUACAAAAAAACAUUCAUUCAAUGUUUGGUGAAGUAACUUGCUUAGUGGCGGACGGGUGAGUAACGCGUGAACAAUCUGCCCUGUACAAAGGAAUAGCCUCGGGAAACCGGGAUUAAAACCAUAUAACACUUAAGAGUCGCAUGAUUCAUAAGUCAAAUUGAUUAAGAGGUAUAGGAUGAGUUCGCGUCUGAUUAGCUAGUUGGUGAGGUAAUGGCUCACCAAGGCGACGAUCAGUAGCCGGCCUGAGAGGGUGAACGGCCACACUGGAACUGAGACACGGUCCAGACUCCUACGGGAGGCAGCAGUGGGGAAUCUUCCGCAAUGGGCGAAAGCCUGACGGAGCAACGCCGCGUGAAUGAUGAAGGCCUUCGGGUUGUAAAAUUCUGUCUUCAGGGAAGAAAAAAAUGACGGUACCUGAGGAGGAAGCCCCGGCUAACUACGUGCCAGCAGCCGCGGUAAUACGUAGGGGGCGAGCGUUGUCCGGAAUUACUGGGCGUAAAGGGCGCGUAGGCGGUUUAUUAAGUCAGAGGUGAAAGCUCCCGGCUCAACCGGGGGACUGCCUUUGAAACUGGUAGACUUGAGGGCAGGAGAGGGGAGUGGAAUUCCCGGUGUAGCGGUGAAAUGCGUAGAUAUCGGGAGGA
rnacentral:rRNA from 2 species